GGGGCAUCUCAGUGGUUAGAGCCCCUGCCUUUCGCACAGAAGGUCCUGGGUUUGAUCCCCAGCAGCUCCA